UAAUAUUAUAUAUUAAAGCGGAAAAGAGAAUAAUCGGGCCUUAGAUGGAAAUUGAGGAUUGUCCAGGCCUUUCGAAGGCCCAAAAACGCCGUUUUGUUUCUACGGAAGCAAGAAAAGUGAACAGGCACGAGUUCAUAUUGCAACUGACCACAACCCACGCCUCCUUCGCAAUCAUCAACAAAUUCCACAAAAUCGAAAGAGGAGAAAACAUACAGAAUUUUUUCCUUUGUUUUCCAGUAAUUUCCGAAUGAUAGUUCAUGAAUUUUUAUUUUUUUUCUUUGAUGUGGAGAAGCAAUGACAAUCACGGGGAAAACCAUGACUCUUGAGGUUGAGAGAGUUCGGGCACCAUUGACAAUGUCAAAGCUAAGAUACAAGACACGGAAGGGAUACCACCUGACCAGCAGAGGCUCAUCUUUGCUGGGAAACAGCUCGGGGAUGGAAGGACAAUAGCAGACUUCAAUAUCCAGAAAGAAUCUACACUUCAUUUGGUUCUUAGGUUGAGAGGUGGCACGCAAAUAUUUUGUAAAAACUCUUACAGGCAAGAUUAUAACUCUUGAGGUGGAGAGUUCUGACACAAUUGACAAUGCGAAGGCGAAAAUCCAAGACAAGGAAGGCAUCUACCCUCCAGUAUCCACCUGGUGCUCCACCUUCUUGGAGGUGCUGAUGUUUGAGUUUGACUAGCAUGGGUCUUAGCCUACUCUGCGUGUGUAUGGUGGUGGUGUUAAUAAUGGAGUUUUAAAGGAUUCUGAUUGAUUGUUAACGUUUUGAUUUGGUAAUGCUCUUUAUAUGUUUGUGUUUGGAACUAUUGAAUAUUAGAACAAUAUGAACUAAAUAAAUCAAAGACAAUUUUUCAGUUGCUGUUUUAUAUA